rnacentral:rRNA from 1 species
AUGGAGGGCGCAGCACCGGCCCCAGCGGCGGCGGCGGCGGAGGUGAAAAACCCGAGGUGCUUCAUGGACAUCACCAUCGGCGGCGAGAUGGAGGGGAGGAUCGUGAUAGAGCUGUACGCGUCCGUGGUCCCGCGGACGGCGGAGAAUUUCCGCGCGCUCUGCACCGGCGAGAAGGGCGUCGGCGCCUCCGGCAAGCCGCUCCACUAUAAGGGAUCAUACUUCCAUCGCAUUAUCAAAGGUUUUAUGGUACAAGGUGGAGAUUUUACUGCUGGUGAUGGAACAGGAGGGGAGUCGAUUUAUGGAUCGAAAUUUGAGGAUGAGAAUUUUAUUUUAAAGCAUGAGAGGAAGGGAAUAUUAUCUAUGGCCAAUUCUGGCCCCAACACAAAUGGAUCUCAAUUUUUCAUCACUACCACCCGAACACCUCAUUUAGAUGGGAAACAUGUAGUUUUUGCGAGAGUAAUAAAGGGAAUGGGUGUGGUUCGUUCUUGUGAGCACAUUCCUGUUGGAGAAGCUGACCGUCCCACAGUUGAUGCCGUAAUUGCUGAAUGUGGGGAACUUCCUGAAGGUGCAGAUGAUGGAGUUGUGAACUUUUUCAAGGAUGGUGACAUGUAUCCUGACUGGCCAAAUGAUCUCGAUGAGAAGCCUACAGAGGUUUCAUGGUGGAUGGAAGCUGUGGAGUCUGCCAAGGCUUUUGGGAAUGAUAAUUUCAAGAAACAGGAUUAUAAGACGGCCCUGAGGAAGUACAGGAAAGCUCUGCGCUACUUGGAUGUUUGCUGGGAGAAAGAAGAGAUAGAUGAAGAGAAGAGCUCAGCACUACGGAAGACCAAGUCCAUAAUACUCACGAAUAGCUCUGCAUGCAAAAUGAAGCUGGGAGAUUUGAAGGGUGCUUUGUUGGAUGCAGAUUUUGCGCUGCGUGAAACAGAGGGCAAUGCUAAGGCUUUUUUCCGACAAGGACAGGCACACAUAGCACUUAAUGACAUUGAUGCAGCAGUGGAGAGCUUCCAGCAUGCAUUGGACUUGGAGCCGAACGAUGGAGCAAUUAAACGCGAGCUGGCUGCUGCAAAGAAGAAGAUCUCCAACAGGAGAGAUAAGGAGCGCAAGGCAUACGCCAGGAUGUUCCAACCUUAA